rnacentral:lncRNA from 1 species
UGGAAGGAAGAGGAGCAGAUGCUGGGGUUUGGCUAGCUGUCUGCUUUUUAUUCUUCCAGGUACCCCCAGCCUGGGGAAUGGUGUCGGCCACUUUUAAGGCGGCAUGGAAUGUUUGGACACCAGGGAAGAGGGAGAACUACCCAGAAGGCAGAGCUGACUGUGGGAGUUUGGAGGAAAGCUGUACUGGCCCAAGGGAGACUCAAAACCAUGGAGCUGCAGGCAGGCAUCUACUGUUGCUCCACAAGAAAGGAUAGCGAAAGAUGUAGUUUCCGGACUGAGGAUUAAACUCAAGACCGAGCACGUGCUAGGUCAGGCCACACACCCUUGCUUACUGGGUAGCUACGGUGACCUGCACAAGACCCUUACAAAAUCAAGCCAACAUGAACAACCAACAUUCCAUCAGGCUGCAUGGACUGCACUCAGUCUGUUAACAACAAAAGCAAAAACAAAAACAAAAACAAAAAAAGAAAAAGAAAGAAGAAGAGGCUGUGGGUGUGGGGGAGGAACACUGUGUGUGUGUGUGUGUGUGUGUGUGUGUGUGUGUGUGUGUGUGUGUGUGUGAGGGGAGUGGAGGAGGGAUCUGGGAUGCAUAUGAUCAAGAUACAACAUGUAUAUCUAUGACAGUGUCGAAGACUGAA